rnacentral:rRNA from 1 species
UACGAAGGUGGAUAGCGUUGUUCUGAAUCACUGGGCGUAAAGCGCACGCAGGCGGAUCGAUAAGUCGGGGGUGAAAGCCCGGGGCUCAACCUCGGAAUUGCCUUCGAUACUGUCGGUCUCGAGUCCGGGAGAGCUGAGUGGAAUUCCUAGUGUAGAGGUGAAAUUCGUAGAUAUUAGGAAGAACACCAGUGGCGAAGGAGGCUCACUGGACCUGUACUGACGCUCUGGUGCGAAAGCGUGGGGAGCAAACAGG